rnacentral:rRNA from 1 species
UACAGAGGGUGCGAGCGUUAAUCGGAAUUACUGGGCGUAAAGCGCGCGUAGGCGGCUUUGCAAGUCGGGUGUGAAAUCCCCAGGCUUAACCUGGGAACUGCAUUCGAGACUGCAUUGCUAGAGUAUGGGAGAGGGAAGUGGAAUUUCCGGUGUAGCGGUGAAAUGCGCAGAUAUCAGGAGGAACACCGGUGGCGAAGGCGGGUCUCUGGGCCGAUACUGACGCUGAGGAGCGAAAGCGUGGGGAGCGAACAGG